rnacentral:lncRNA from 1 species
UGCCAGUGGAUAGAUCCAUGAUCACAUUAAGGGCCUCCAUGUGAUCAGGAGUAGUUAGAAAUGUGAUACCCCAACUUAAGCCAGGCAGCUAACAUCCCAUGGGGUCCACAGAGAAUGCUUGAUAGCACCAGAGAAGGUGAACAGUGUGAAGACAGCCACGUGUCCUGCCUGUGUGUAGGCCAGAACAUCUAAGGUCCUAGAAGGUCUGGAAAACAGCCUCAUAGCUUGCAAGUCAUCUAAACCAGCAGAUGUGGGCCUUCUUGGACUGGUGGUACCUCCCUUGAAGCCGUUGGAGGAGCAUUUCAGGUAGGCAGAAUUGCCCCUUGACUGAUGUUUAUCCCCAGCUGCAGUAGAGGAAGUGCCAGCUCAGGUGCUCACAAUGACCUUGGUGAAACCCUGCCAGGCACGAAUUGAGCUGUGACUAUGAAGCAGGGAACGUAAGGGAACGAUAGGAGGUGGGUAGGUAAAGCACCUCUCAGAGAAGGCACGUGAUGCUAAGAGCGUCCAGCAGGGUGUGGCUCAGUGGUGAAGCACCUGCUCAACAGGGGCAAGGCCAUAGAUUCAGGCCCCAGCGAUACAGGAAUUGUUAGUUGUGCCUGGGCCAAUCAAGUCAGGCUGGGCAACUCAUCCUCAGUAGGCCAAUUAUGAUAUAAUGAAAAGCAACAAAAGGAAAUCUCUGCCAUGUGGCCACACUGGGAAAGGGAGCCAGGGAGUCCUGUAAGUACUCAGGAUCCUGACAUGAGCUUUAAGUAGAGGGCAAGAGAUAGACACCACUGAGUAGUCCUGAUCAAAGUGUGGUGCCAGCCAUCAUUGUCUGUCUCUGCCCCAAUCUGUCCUGCAAGGUGGUCCGAGAGCUGUUGAAACUGUGGGAAUCUGAGAGACGAGCUCCUCUUCAUGCUGGCGCCAGACUUCAGCCCUUUCCUUCCCACAGCAUGAGAGGCUCCUGGAGAAAUUCCAAAAGUCUUGGGGUCCAUUGUCUCAAGAUUCUGAUAGUCAAAGGGGAGGGGCACUUUGUGUCUUUUUAGUUAGAAUAUUACCACAAUAAGCCACAAGAUGAAGCAGUUGCCCUUUCCCUGACCAUAGAAAGGACUCCCAUGUGCAGAAUAUUGUCUUUCAUCUAUAGUGGCCAUUGAGAAUACCACGCCUUAGAAGCCAGAGAUUGACUGAGUCUUCAAGCUCAGCAAAAGCCCCAACAGUUGGACAUGAGCGAGGUUCUUAGAGAGUAUCCAAGACUUAGGCAAACUUCAACAUACCUCCUGCGGAAACAUGAUAAAUAAAGCGAAAGCUGACUGAGGACAAGAGACUAGAUUCCCCACCCCUGCCCUGCAAGCUUUGGUGGUAAUGAGGAUGCGACCCCAUGCAAGUGAGCCACCAGCUGAGAUGACCUCUCCCCAAACCAAGGAAAAUGGACAUUUAGACAAACGGCGUAUCUAGAACCCAAACAGACAUGAAAGGAAGAACUGCUCCGUGAUAUAGUACGUAGUUGAGAUGUGAAGAUACAAAGCAAAGGACACCCUACAAAAAGAUGUAAGGGGGGCAUGGCUGACAACCACACUCCAGUGGAUGGCCCCCUGAGGAUAUGGG